rnacentral:rRNA from 1 species
CAGUCGCCGCGGUAAUACGUAGGGUGCGAGCGUUAAUCGGAAUUACUGGGCGUAAAGCGUGCGCAGGCGGUUAUAUAAGACAGAUGUGAAAUCCCCGGGCUCAACCUGGGACCUGCAUUUGUGACUGUAUAGCUAGAGUACGGUAGAGGGGGGUGGAAUUCCGCGUGUAGCAGUGAAAUGCGUAGAUAUGCGGAGGAACACCGAUGGCGAAGGCAAUCCCCUGGACCUGUACUGACGCUCAUGCACGAAAGCGUGGGGAGCAAACAGGAUUAGAUACCCCCGUAGUCCCUGUCUCUUAUAC